AUCACGCUAAUUUAAUUACAGAUCUAAUUAUUAUAACCACUAUUGUACGUACCCAAAUGAUCCCCAGUAGAGAUGGCAAUUUGACCUAACCUGAAUUUUGGCCCGACUGACCUAAUCCUAAUUUUUUAGGGCUUGAUUGAAUAUUCAGGUUUUAGGUCAGGUUCGGGUGAAAAAAUUGAGGCUCGAUUAAAAAUCGGGUUAGGUUUAGACUCAAG
rnacentral:lncRNA from 1 species